rnacentral:sRNA from 1 species
GUCAGGUGCAGUAGUGCACACCUGUAAUCCCAGCUACUUGGGAAGGCUGAGGCAAGAGAAUCACAAGUUCUAGGCCAGCCUGGGCAACUUGGUGAGACCCUGUCUCAA